rnacentral:rRNA from 1 species
GGCGAACGGGUGAGUAACACGUGGGUGGUCUGCCUUGCACUUCGGGAUAAGCCUGGGAAACUGGGUCUAAUACCGGAUAGGACCAUGCUUUAGUGUGUGUGGUGGAAAGUUUUCGGUGCAAGAUGAGCCCGCGGCCUAUCAGCUUGUUGGUGGGGUAAUGGCCUACCAAGGCGACGACGGGUAGCCGGCCUGAGAGGGUGUACGGCCACAUUGGGACUGAGACACGGCCCAG